UGAUCAUAAUAACUUACGAAUCGCAUGGCCUUGUGCCGGCGAUGGUUCAUUCAAAUUUCUGCCCUAUCAACUUUCGAUGGUGGGAUAGUGGCCUACCAUGGUUUCAACGGGUAACGGGGAAUUAGGGUUCUAUUCCGGAGAGGGAGCCUGAGAAACGGCUACCACAUCCAAGGAAGGCAGCAGGCGCGCAAAUUACCCAAUCCCGACACGGGGAGGUAGUGACAAUAAAUACUGAUACAGGGGCUCUUUUGGGUCUUGUAAUUGGAAUGAGUACAAUUUAAAUCCCUUAACGAGGAACAAUUGGAGGACAAGUCUGGUGCCAGCAGCCGCGGUAAUUCCAGCUCCAAUAGCGUAUAUUAAAGUUGUUGCAGUUAAAAGCUCGUAGUUGAACCUUGGGCCUGGCUGGGCGGUCCGGCUCA
rnacentral:rRNA from 1 species